UCUCGUAGCUGGCGAAAAGUUAGAUAACAAACAGUAAGGUCCCGUUAUUCACAGAUUAAAAGCUUCCAGCUCGGAUGAGACGCUGAGCAACUACAAUGCUAAUCAAAGUGACUGGCUGAAAGCUAACUCAGCAGUGACCUUGAUGACAACAAUCGUUAUGACUGCAAGCAACGGUCUCCAUUUCCUGUGUCAUGUAUGCCAGUAUGUCCUGAAAGUCAAAGUCAGAGUCUUGACAAGCUGGAUCAAAGAAGUCCUUAUGGAUUAUAUAGCGAAUGCACUGAAGAACCACAUUCCUUUCAUGGCGAAUAUCUGGGGCCAGCAACUAUAAGGAAUAAAAUACACUGUUUACAAUAAAUGAAAAAAUCAUUUAUCAUA